AGCGAACGCUGGCGGCAGGCCUAACACAUGCAAGUCGAACGAACCUUUCGGGGUUAGUGGCGGACGGGUGAGUAACACGUGGGAACGUGCCUUUAGGUUCGGAAUAACUCAGGGAAACUUGUGCUAAUACCAAAUGUGCCCUUCGGGGGAAAGAUUAAUCGCCUUUAGAGCGGCCCGCGUCUGAUUAGCUAGUUGGUUGAGGUAAUGGCUCACCAAGGCGACGAUCAGUAGCUGGUCUGAGAGGAUGAUCAGCCACAUUGGGACUGAGACACGGCCCAAACUCCUACGGGAGGCAGCAGUGGGGAAUCUUGCGCAAUGGGCGAAAGCCUGACGCAGCCAUGCCGCGUGAAUGAUGAAGGUCUUAGGAUUGUAAAAUUCUUUCACCGGGGACGAUAAUGACGGUACCCGGAGAAGAAGCCCCGGCUAACUUCGUG
rnacentral:rRNA from 1 species